UGCUCCCUGAGGGAGGGGGAGCUGGUCCUUUAAAUGGGGUGAGGGGAGGGGCGGAUCGUAAGUUGAAUUAGAAGAGUGGCUUAGGUGGUGUGCCCACCUCCUCGGUGCUGCUGCAGGCAGGGCUCACGCACAGUAUCCUGCUUUUGUUUCUGACACCUCCUGAAAGGCCAUUGGGUUUAUAGUCUUUUUGUGUCUUGUUUUUGAUUUGCCCCAGCUGCAAGAUGCAGUUAUUUUCAUAGUGUUAUUUGUAUUCCAGGAGACAUUUGUCCAGGUGCAAACACUGCAGUAAAUGUCCAAGGUCAAUCAGUUGGCUGACUAUUCAAAGCAUUUUGGAGUUAGAAUCCAUCAGAAGAGGAGUUCAACCACUGACUCUGCUCUUCCUGGUUGCGUAGCCUUAGCCCCACUCCUCCUUGUCCAGGAAAGGAAACUGAGGCCCAGAGAAAGGGCCUUGCCCAAGUCCAGCUGGGAGGUUAGCAUCCAGAUGAGAAGUAGAUGAGAAAGCAAGGCUGGGAGGGACCAGAGGGUGACUACUUGAGCCUGCAUUUUCAGUUUGCCCUGAUAAAGAAGAGAGGAUCCUGGAGAGAAUUCUGCUGGGCUGAUGGCCUGGACAAAGUCGCUCAGUCGUGUCCAACUCUUUGCGACCCCACGGACUGU